UUUUGAUUAUACUGCAUAUGUGACUUUUAAGGAAGCUUAUGCCCUGGGAACUGCAUUAUUGCUUAAUGGUUCGAUGAUUUUGGACCAAAGCAUUUCCAUUUCACGUUGGGAAGCUUAUACAGAUGACAAUAAUUGGAACAGGCAUAACGUUGAAGACAGUAUUACAUGCUCUCAAAUUGCUAUAACAUCUUACGGAUUGGGCGUGUUAAUGUGAUCGGAGACGUUAUCUUAUUCCUCGAAAAACUAUGUGUCAGCCUCUCAAGUGUUGUUUUCGCUUUCCUCAUGUUAGA